CCUACGGGAGGCAGCAGUGAGGAAUAUUGGUCAAUGGGCGCGAGCCUGAACCAGCCAAGUAGCGUGAAGGAUGACUGCCCUACGGGUUGUAAACUUCUUUUAUAAAGGAAUAAAGUGAGCCACGUGUGCCUUUUUGUGUGUACUUUAUGAAUAAGGAUCGGCUAACUCCGUGCCAGCAGCCGCGGUAAUACGGAGGAUCCGAGCGUUAUCCGGAUUUAUUGGGUUUAAAGGGAGCGUAGAUGGGUCGUUAAGUCAGUUGUGAAAGUUUGCGGCUCAACCGUCAAAUUGCAGUUGAAACUGGCAGUCUUGAGUACAGUAGAGGUGGGCGGAAUUCGCGGUGUAGCGGUGAAAUGCUUAGAUAUCGCGAAGAACUCCGAUUGCGAAGGCAGCUCACUGGACUGCAACUGACACUGAUGCUCGAAAGUGUGGGUAUCAAACAGGAUUAGAUACCCCAGUAGUC
rnacentral:rRNA from 1 species